rnacentral:rRNA from 1 species
AGUGAACGCUGGCGGUAGGCCUAACACAUGCAAGUCGAACGGCAACACAGUAAGAGCUUGCUCUUACGGGUGGCGAGUGGCGGACGGGUGAGGAAUACAUCAGCAUCUACUUUUUCGGGGGGGAUAACGUGAGGCAACUUACGCUAAUACCGCAUACGUCCUACGGGUGAAAGCAGUGGAUCUUCGGACCUUGCGCGAUUGAAUGAGCCGAUGUCGGAUUAGCUAGUUGGCGGGGUAAAGGCCCACCAAGGCGACGAUCCGUAGCUGGUCUGAGAGGAUGAUCAGCCACACUGGAACUGAGACACGGUCCAGACUCCUACGGGAGGCAGCAGUGGGGAAUAUUGGACAAUGGGCGCAAGCCUGAUCCAGCCAUACCGCGUGGGUGAAGAAGGCCUUCGGGUUGUAAAGCCCUUUUGUUGGGAAAGAAAAACUGUAGGUUAAAACCCGGCUGUUCUGACGGUACCCAAAGAGUAAGCACCGGCUAACUUCGUG